CCUACGGGGGGCUGCAGUGAGGAAUAUUGCACAAUGGGCGAAAGCCUGAUGCAGCAACGCCGCGUGGAGGAUGAAGGUCUUCGGAUUGUAAACUCCUUUUAUGGGGGAAAAGAACGGAUGGUACCCCGUGAAUAAGUCACGGCUAACUACGUGCCAGCAGCCGCGGUAAUACGUAGGUGACGAGCGUUAUCCGGAUUUAUUGGGCGUAAAGCGUACGCAGGCGGUUUUUUAAGUCUGACGUGAAACCUCCCGGCUUAACUGGGAGAAUGCGUUGGAAACUGGAGGACUUGAGGCAAUGAGAGGUAUGCAGAAUUCCCGGUGUAGUGGUGGAAUGCGUAGAUAUCGGGGGGAAUACCAGUGGCGAAAGCGGCAUACCAGCAUUGUACUGACGCUCAUGUACGAAAGCGUGGGUAGCAAACGGGAUUAGAUACCCGUGUAGUC
rnacentral:rRNA from 1 species